UUUCUUUCUUAAUUAAACCACUCUAUCUAGUAGUAUAGUAUUGUGAAUGUAUUUUGAAAGAUAGAGAAUAUAUUUCCUCAUCUACUUUUUAGUACUUAAUUUGGCUAAACUAUUUUUGUUCUAGGGAAACAAUAAUAAUUUCUAUUUUAAUUUUUUCCUCUUACAAAUUUAAGGAUCUAUCUUGUUGGUGUACGUUGUGG
rnacentral:lncRNA from 1 species